CCCCAGUGUGUCACUGCUGCGGAGUAAACAGGCUCGGAUUCCACUCGGCAGGCAGCGGCAGGGGUUCAGGGCUGCAGCCCAUUCACGGGAUUUAUUGGCCUAAGAAAAUAAAGGAAACUCCACAAAAGAAGCAGAGCCAUGACUGGCUGAUCUAGAACACACACACCCUGGACAGCAGGUAAUUUCAUGCUCUUAAAAUGGGGCAUAAAGUGGUCGUAUUCGACAUUUCUGUCAUCAGAGCCUUGUGGGAAACUCGUGUCAAGAAGCACAAAGCCUGGCAGAAGCAGGAGGCAGAAAGGCUUGAGAAAAGCGCAUUGGAAAAGAUAAAGGAGGAGUGGAACUUCGUGGCCGAGUGCAGAAGGAAGGGCAUCCCCCAGGCUGCGUACUGCAAGAAUGGCUUCAUAGACACCAGCGUGAGGCUUCUGGACAAGAUUGAAAGGAACUCCCUCGCAAGGCAGAGUGCAAUUUCCAAGGAGAGAGACAAACGGAGCAGUGAGUUUGUGUUUGAACUUACGGGGGAGCACUGGAAGGUGAGUCCAUGCGUUUCGGUCCCUACCUACAGCACGCCGAGGCACUUUGCACCGCUGCGGCCGACGUCAGCUGCUAGGCUGAGCUCAGGCCGUUGACCAUGGCCCAGUGCGCGCUGUUGCUGUUGUCUUUAGAGAGCUUUCCCCUGGAUGCGGAGGAGCCAUUGCCGGCUCUGAACCGGGUUCUCGCGUCUUUUCCGCGGUGAAAGACUGUGCAGUCUUGAAAAGAGCUGCGGGAUCCCCUUGGAUCCUUCCGACGCUGCGAGGGACUGGGACCCCAGCGGCUCCUCAGGAUGCCACAGCCUUUACAAUGCUUGAUUCUGGGAAUUCCCUGGCGGUCCAGGGUUUGGGACUCCGCGCUUCCAUUGCCGAGAACGCGGGUUCAAUCCCUAGUUGGGGAGCUAAGAUUCCGCCAAGCCGCGGGGUGCGGCCAAAUAAAAACAACAACAAAAAAAAACGUUCGAUUCUGCCGUCUCCUCGCCACCCCUCCCCGCCCAUUAAAAAUAACUCCUUGCCGCCUUUUUUUUUUUUUUUAAUGCUCUGAGCACUUGACUUGCCUAACACCCUUCUGUGGGCGGUGGCUUUGCUGACUUGUCACAGAGUGUAGAGCCGCAAAGGAAUUUCGCAGACCCUUUAGCCAAUUUUCCUCUGAGUUUCUGAGACCAGGUCAAAGAUGUCCCCUCUUUCUUUCCUCAGGUGUGUACAGGUGCUUCCUGCUCCCACUCCCCCAGGUUGCUGCUGGCUUGGAGUGGCAUCUCUGGGCUGCCUGUGCUCUGAUGUUUCUUGGUUGAAGCAGCACAUGGUGUGUGUGCGCUGCGUGGCGGCACAAAUGAGCUCGGGCUAUCUUCCGUUCAGUGGGACAGAGUUGUCUGGGACCUGCCCUCCAUCUCUUUUUAUCCCACCAUUUUGUUGCUGAAAGGACUCUGGACUGGGAGACCAUAUAUUUUGGGUGACCCUUUAUUGGCCGUGUGACCUGAGGCUGUUUGCUCCAUUUGUAUACAUUUUAUCUCCUUCUCUGUUCAGUGGUGCUGAUGCUUGCCUUGACCCCCUCUGAGGGCUGUUGUGAGGACUAAACGAGCGGAUAUUCUGUGACACUGUCUUGUUAGCGACACAGACCUAUAAAACUGGGAGAGACUAUGACUGAAACCUCUUUGGUGGUCUUUCUCCUGCAUCUGCAUCAUUGAGAUCAGUGGAUACAUGGAUACUGCCUUUUCUGGGGCAAGAUGGAGGGCCUGUCUGGAUUUCUAAUUAAAUACCGCUGCUAAAUCAUUCUCGUGCGCUGUGGUCAAACACGAUUCCAGCCCGCUUGGGGAACCUGUUGAUUCCUCUCGGCUCACAGCACCUUUGGAAAACCACUUUAAAGGGCAUUUAGCGAGUGCCUAGUGUGGUCGGGGGAUAGGAAGAGGGUUAUGAGUCAGCAGGCUAGGGAGACCCCAGGGUGAACUAUGUGGAUGUUGUCUUCAUUACUUACAGCCUUCUUGUCCCCUGCAUUCGGUUCCCUGAGCUGGUACCCUAUCCUCAUGGGUACCCACCGAAGGCAAGACUCUGGGGCCUCAGGCAUUCACUAGUAUGAAUUUCAGUUACUGUUUUCCUUCCCCAGAGAGAUUUGUGUUUCAGUCUUGCCUCUACUUAAGGAGUGAAAAGCUCCAUUAAAGGAUGUUCACCAUCUUAGAGUGCUCACGGCAGCGAGGGAGUUCUGGCCUCUAACAUCACACCAGGCAGCAGGUCUGGCCCCUGCAGGAGGUCAGCAAGAGGUGGAUAGGGCGGUGGAGCUUCUGGGACCUUGGGAACUGGGUGGGGAGAGCUCCCCUGGGGUUCCUUGGAGCGGCUGUGGGGCUGUGACCUAUGACUUGGGUACCCGAUUAGGUUGGGGGUGUCGGGAGUCAGGCAUUCUUUGUGAGCUGGAUGCCCCCAGGCCCUGGGCCCUGCUCUUUCAGGGAGAUUUCUCUAAUUUUACUGAACAACUUUUCAAUAGAAAAUUUCACUUAUACUGUCAAGGUUUUUUUUUUUUUUUUUUUUUGCGCGGUACGCGGGCCUCUCACUGCUGUGGCCUCUCCCGUUGCGGAGCACAGGCUCCGCACGUGCAGGCCCAGCGGCCAUGGCUCACGGGCCUAGCCGCUCCGCAGCAUGUGGGAUCUUCCCAGACCAGGGCACGAACCCGCGUCCCCUGCAUUGGCAGGCGGACUCUUAACCACUGCGCCACCAGGGAAGCCCUACUGUUAAGUUUUUAAUUUCCCAGAGCUGUCUGUUUGUUUUGUGAAUGAAUGAGUCCUGUAAUGUGGCUUUAUAUUUCUACUUUUAUGGAUGAGUCUUAAAUUUUCCUUUAAAAAUUUUGUCUUGUUUUCAUUUCAUGGGGGCUGUUCUUACUUAUCUUGGGAUUGAUAGCUUUUUUUGGAGGAAGUUUCCAUCUUUCAGAGUCUCCUUUUUCUUUUUCGGGUGUUUGUGUUGGUCUGGUAUGUUGGGACUCUCUGGGAGGUCUGGAGACACGGGGUGUCAGGAGCACUGAGAAACUGGAAGCUCCAAGUGUGUGUCAGGUGAGGGCUUCGUUUUUGGAGGGCGUUGCUAUGGAGCCCCAUGUCUCCAGCACGUUCCCCCUAUCCCCUGCCCCAGGAGUGCAUAUUUAUGAUUUGUCUGCAGCUGGUGAGUGCCCACAGAGAGGAUCCUCUCACAUCCUGCAGGCAGGGACAGGCCUGGCAGCCACUGCUCUGGACAGAGAGGUGGGCUGGGUGGGGAAGUCUCAGCAUCCAUCACUCAACCUGUGGUUGCUGCCUCCCUCCCUAGAUGUGCCUGAUGGUCCCCAAUCCAGACACUCUGUUUAAUCCCUCCAGUGGAUAAGCCUCAGUCUUCUACAGGGGCAGUAGUUCUGUGACAUUGAUGGGGGGGGGACAGAGAUCUGGUCCUAAACUUUGAACUUGACCUCCUUCUUUUAGCCCUGCCUUCUGCUCUCACCUCCACAUGCCUGGCUCUUCCACUUCCUGAGCCUCGGGGGCCUCUGAUGAGAAGUUCAGGUUGUGUCUCAUUGUUCCUCCUGCUGGUGGUCUAAGAUUGAGCAGAUCAAGGGAGGUGGGUUACCAUCUUCCAGUUUUCCAGCUACCAACAUUUUCCUGCUGCUGCCUCCCUUCUCUUUCUCUUUGCCCUCUGUAAGGUUUAUAUCUUCAAAAAAUAAUUCCUUUACUGUCAUCUUUCGUGGAAUUUUAGAGAGGAGCAAAAGUGUACGUGUUGUGUUCAAUCUGCCAUCUUUACCCUGUUCCUUUUAUUUUUAUUUAACACGCUAUCUUGAGAUUUUCCCAUGUUAUUAAAAAUAGUUAUGGAUAUAAUUUUAGAAGGCAUAAUAACCUUUCCAAGUGUGCCAUUAUUGGAAGAGCAAUAUGAGAGAAGUUUUUAUGAGACACUUGAUAAUUGAAGCUUCAAAAGACAGAGUGUUUUUAUGACCUAGGGUCAGCUCCCUGAUGCCCCAGCUCGUCAUCUUGUCUCAGCGGCAGGAGGAAACCAUCUGAUCUGGUGUGGGUUGCAUUCAGAUAAGGAUCAGGAGGUUCCAAGAUGGGUUUGCCAGGCCCGGGUGCUGGGGGCAGUCACACGGGGCCCUGUGCUUGAUUUAAUGCUCUGCUGUCACCAUCUUGAAAUUC